GGUUCUAUGGCUUAGUGGUUAAGAUGUUGGACUACUGAUCAGAAGGUCAUGAGUACAAGCCCCAGCACCACCA